AACAUCGCGCACCUGCGGGAACCUGCGGAAGGAUCAUUAAUGAAAUCGUGUUUCUAACACAAAACCCGGGAGGUCACUGUGCCGUACGCGUUACAAUACUCCUUCUUGACAGUCUCACAAAGACUUCACAGAGGGGGUAUGGUACGGGGGCGUCGCAGCGGCCGACCAUCAACAACCGUGUGAACCAGUAGUAUUAAAACAAAAAUAAUACUUCAGCGCUUCGCCCUGUACAGAAGAGAG
rnacentral:misc_RNA from 1 species